rnacentral:tRNA from 1 species
UGUCUCAGUGGUAGAGUGCUUGCCUUGCAUGCAUGAGGCCCUGGGUUCAAUUCCUCG